rnacentral:lncRNA from 1 species
UUUCUAGAGUUUGCACAGCAGAACUACAAAGGUAAAAUCAUUGUUUCGUGCCAGAUCAAGGUCAGAAGAGAGAAGUGCUGCAGAUCCCCAGACUCAGAAUCUUUGAUGAAGAUACCCACAGGGAACCACGGAACAACAGAUGACCUUACAAGUCAAAGAAAGAACUCACUGUACCUUGGACUGGGGAGCCACGUCAAGCAACAAGCCAGAGUGCUCAAAGACAUCUGAAGUGGAUCAGUAACAAUGUUCAGACAGCAACAUUCAUAAAUUCUAUGCUGAGGAGCGCUAUUCUAAAGGAGAAGAGACGUGUGUUGAAUUUUGAAGAACAAACGGGAAAUAGCGAAAUCCAUUUUUCUUAUCCUUGGCAAAUGUUGCAAGGACAAACACUUGAAUGAAGUGGAGCGCGUGCAACCAGAGAGCUCCUGGAGGGAAAACCUGUGGUUUCUACAAUGGUGAGUGACAGAAAGGGGACACUGUGUAUAUUGGAGGAGUGGUUCCUCAAAACAAAACAAACAAACAAAAACUUUAAAUGGUGUUGCAUACAUUUUCUGCACUAGCCUUCUACCACUGUGACAAAAUACCUGAGAAAAAUCAACAUAAAGGAGGAAAG